rnacentral:lncRNA from 1 species
GGUGGGGUAGACAGUGCAGGCAUUGGGCGCAGAGAGUGCAGGCGCGAGAGCAGACCCAUGUUGUGUCAUGUCGACGGGACGCUUUUGAUCCUCUCCGGCCGGGCCUUCCUCUGCCAUUUCUGCACACUGCGCCAUGAUUAACCAUUUAACCGCUAUUGCUACGAGUACUCCGGCGCACGUAUUGUAUUAAUAUUUUAUAGUGUAAAUUCAACUUUCCACACCCCAAGUUCUAUAUUUUUUACGGCUUUUACCCAAUUUAGCAAGAUUUUCGUUUUUUUACCCCAUUUAACAAAAGUUGUUCCAGAAAUUACCCUAUUUAAGAUUUUUCAAGUAAUCACCUCCGUUGUUGGCCGACGUGGCGUGCCAGGUUGAAGAUGGACUGGGGCUCCAGGUACGCCCGACGUCACCUCUCUCCUUCAGGUCCAUCUCCUCCUUCUCCUCCUCGUCAGAUUUCUCCUCCAUGCGGAGCAGCACAGCAGGGAGCAGUUGGUGGCUCCACUUCUUGGGGAUGGAGCCAAAGCAAUUGUCAUGGCGCACGACGUCGUCAGAGUCGCCGAUGGAUCAGCCACCACCGCGACGCUCAUUGUCUCGUCACCUGAGACGGAGAAGAAGCCAUGCCGCAACAUGUACGCCUUGGCAUGAGCAGUGCUCGCACCCUCGCCAUGUCUCUCGUCGCC